AUUGAACGCUGGCGGCAGGCUUAACACAUGCAAGUCGAGCGGGGUGAUGGUGCUUGCACUAUCACUUAGCGGCGGACGGGUGAGUAAUGCUUAGGAAUCUGCCUAUUAGUGGGGGACAACAUCUCGAAAGGGAUGCUAAUACCGCAUACGUCCUACGGGAGAAAGCAGGGGAUCACUUGUGACCUUGCGCUAAUAGAUGAGCCUAAGUCGGAUUAGCUAGUUGGUGGGGUAAAGGCCUACCAAGGCGACGAUCUGUAGCGGGUCUGAGAGGAUGACCCGCCAACCUGGGACUGAGACACGGCCCAGACUCCUACGGGAGGCAGCAGUGGGGAAUAUUGGACAAUGGGGGGAACCCUGAUCCAGCCAUGCCGCGUGUGUGAAGAAGGCCUUAUGGUUGUAAAGCACUUUAAGCGAGGAGGAGGCUCUUUUGGUUAAUACCCAAGAUGAGUGGACGUUACUCGCAGAAUAAGCACCGGCUAACUCUGUGCCAGCAGCCGCCGUAA
rnacentral:rRNA from 1 species